rnacentral:tRNA from 2 species
GACGAGGUGGCCGAGUGGUUAAGGCGAUGGACUGCUAAUCCACUGUGCAUUGCAUGCGUGGGUUCGAAUCCCACCCUCGUCG